UAUGCACCAGCCAACACGUUU
rnacentral:misc_RNA from 1 species